rnacentral:rRNA from 1 species
CCUACGGGAGGCAGCAGUGGGGAAUAUUGCACAAUGGGCGCAAGCCUGAUGCAGCCAUGCCGCGUGUGUGAAGAAGGCCUUCGGGCUGUAAAGCACUUUCAGCGGGGAGGAAGGCGGUGAGGUUAAUAACCUCAUCGAUUGACGUUACCCGCAGAAGAAGCACCGGCUAACUCCGUGCCAGCAGCCGCGGUAAUACGGAGGGUGCAAGCGUUAAUCGGAAUUACUGGGCGUAAAGCGCACGCAGGCGGUCUGUCAAGUCGGAUGUGAAAUCCCCGGGCUCAACCUGGGAACUGCAUUCGAAACUGGCAGGCUAGAGUCUUGUAGAGGGGGGUAGAAUUCCAGGUGUAGCGGUGAAAUGCGUAGAGAUCUGGAGGAAUACCGGUGGCGAAGGCGGCCCCCUGGACAAAGACUGACGCUCAGGUGCGAAAGCGUGGGGAGCAAACAGGAUUAGAUACCCGAGUAGUC